rnacentral:rRNA from 1 species
AGAGUUUGAUCCUGGCUCAGGACGAACGCUGGCGGCGCGCCUAACACAUGCAAGUCGAACGAGCGAGAGAGAGCUUGCUUUCUCGAGCGAGUGGCGAACGGGUGAGUAACGCGUGAGGAACCUGCCUCAAAGAGGGGGACAACAGUUGGAAACGACUGCUAAUACCGCAUAAGCCCACGGUGCGGCAUGGCACAGAGGGAAAAGGAGCAAUCCGCUUUGAGAUGGCCUCGCGUCCGAUUAGCUAGUUGGUGAGGUAACGGCCCACCAAGGCGACGAUCGGUAGCCGGACUGAGAGGUUGAACGGCCACAUUGGGACUGAGACACGGCCCAGACUCCUACGGGAGGCAGCAGUGGGGAAUAUUGCACAAUGGGGGAAACCCUGAUGCAGCGACGCCGCGUGGAGGAAGAAGGUCUUCGGAUUGUAAACUCCUGUUGUUGAGGAAGAUAAUGACGGUACUCAACAAGGAAGUGACGGCUAACUACGUGCCAGCAGCCGCGGUAAAACGUAGGUCACAAGCGUUGUCCGGAAUUACUGGGUGUAAAGGGAGCGCAGGCGGGAAGACAAGUUGGAAGUGAAAUCCAUGGGCUCAACCCAUGAACUGCUUUCAAAACUGUUUUUCUUGAGUAGUGCAGAGGUAGGCGGAAUUCCCGGUGUAGCGGUGGAAUGCGUAGAUAUCGGGAGGAACACCAGUGGCGAAGGCGGCCUACUGGGCACCAACUGACGCUGAGGCUCGAAAGUGUGGGUAGCAAACAGGAUUAGAUACCCUGGUAGUCCACACCGUAAACGAUGAUUACUAGGU